rnacentral:rRNA from 1 species
AACGAACGCUGGCGGCGCGUCUUAAACAUGCAAGUCGAACGAUCUGUAGCAAUACAGGGAGUGGCGGACGGGGUGAGGAACACGUAGGAAUCUACCUUGAAGAGCGGGACAACUUUGGGAAACCGGGGCUAAUACCGCAUAGUACAGAGAUGUUAAAGGGCUAAGCAAUAAGUCGCUUUCGAGAUGAGCCUGCGGUCUAAUCAGCUUGUUGGUGAGGUAAUGGCUCACCAAGGCUACGACGGAUAGCCGGUCUGAGAGGAUGAUCGGCCACACUGGCACUGAGACACGGGCCAGACUCCUACGGGAGGCAGCAGUUAAGAAUCUUGCGCAAUGGGGGAAACCCUGACGCAGCGACGCCGCGC